rnacentral:rRNA from 1 species
CCUGGCUCGGCUUUCGGGGGCUACAGGCUUAACACAUGCAAGUCGAGGGGCAGUUUUUCAGUUUGCUUGCAAACUGGAGAUGGCGACCGGCGCACGGGUGAGUAACACGUAUCCAACCUGCCGAUAACUCGGGGAUAGCCUUUCGAAAGAAAGAUUAAUACCCGAUGGCAUAAUUAGACCGCAUGGUCUUAUUAUUAAAGAAUUUCGGUUAUCGAUGGGGAUGCGUUCCAUUAGGCAGUUGGUGAGGUAACGGCUCACCAAACCUUCGAUGGAUAGGGGUUCUGAGAGGAAGGUCCCCCACAUUGGAACUGAGACACGGUCCAAACUCCUACGGGAGGCAGCAGUGAGGAAUAUUGGUCAAUGGGCGCAGGCCUGAACCAGCCAAGUAGCGUGAAGGAUGACUGCCCUAUGGGUUGUAAACUUCUUUUAUAUGGGAAUAAAGUUUUCCACGUGUGGAAUUUUGUAUGUACCAUAUGAAUAAGGAUCGGCUAACUCCGUGCCAGCAGCCGCGGUAAUACGGAGGAUCCGAGCGUUAUCCGGAUUUAUUGGGUUUAAAGGGAGCGUAGGUGGACAGUUAAGUCAGUUGUGAAAGUUUGCGGCUCAACCGUAAAAUUGCAGUUGAUACUGGCUGUCUUGAGUACAGUAGAGGUGGGCGGAAUUCGUGGUGUAGCGGUGAAAUGCUUAGAUAUCACGAAGAACUCCGAUUGCGAAGGCAGCUCACUGGACUGCAACUGACACUGAUGCUCGAAAGUGUGGGUAUCAAACAGGAUUAGAUACCCUGGUAGUCCACACAGUAAACGAUGAAUACUCGCUGUUUGCGAUAUACAGUAAGCGGCCAAGCGAAAGCAUUAAGUAUUCCACCUGGGGAGUACGCCGGCAACGGUGAAACUCAAAGGAAUUGACGGGGGCCCGCACAAGCGGAGGAACAUGUGGUUUAAUUCGAUGAUACGCGAGGAACCUUACCCGGGCUUAAAUUGCAUUUGAAUAAUCUGGAAACAGGUUAGCCGCAAGGCAAAUGUGAAGGUGCUGCAUGGUUGUCGUCAGCUCGUGCCGUGAGGUGUCGGCUUAAGUGCCAUAACGAGCGCAACCCUUAUCUUUAGUUACUAACAGGUCAUGCUGAGGACUCUAGAGAGACUGCCGUCGUAAGAUGUGAGGAAGGUGGGGAUGACGUCAAAUCAGCACGGCCCUUACGUCCGGGGCUACACACGUGUUACAAUGGGGGGUACAGAAGGCAGCUACCUGGUGACAGGAUGCUAAUCCCAAAAGCCUCUCUCAGUUCGGAUCGAAGUCUGCAACCCGACUUCGUGAAGCUGGAUUCGCUAGUAAUCGCGCAUCAGCCAUGGCGCGGUGAAUACGUUCCCGGGCCUUGUACACACCG